GAUGAACGCUGGCGGCAUGCUUAACACAUGCAAGUUGAGCGCUGAAGGUUGGUACUUGUACCAACUGGAUGAGCAGCGAACGGGUGAGUAACGCGUGGGGAAUCUGCCUUUGAGCGGGGGACAACAUUUGGAAACGAAUGCUAAUACCGCAUAAAAACUUUAAACACAAGUUUUAAGUUUGAAAGAUGCAAUUGCAUCACUCAAAGAUGAUCCCGCGUUGUAUUAGCUAGUUGGUGAGGUAAAGGCUCACCAAGGCGAUGAUACAUAGCCGACCUGAGAGGGUGAUCGGCCACAUUGGGACUGAGACACGGCCCAAACUCCUACGGGAGGCAGCAGUAGGGAAUCUUCGGCAAUGGACGAAAGUCUGAACGAGCAACGCCGCGUGAGUGAAGAAGGGUUUCGGAUCGUAAAACUCUGUUGGUAGAGAAGAACGUUGGUGAGAGUGGAAAGCUCAUCAAGUGACGGUAACUACCCAGAAAGGGACGGCUAACUACGUG
rnacentral:rRNA from 1 species